AGUGAACGCUGGCGGUAGGCCUAACACAUGCAAGUCGAACGGCAGCACAGUAAGAGCUUGCUCUUACGGGUGGCGAGUGGCGGACGGGUGAGGAAUACAUCGGAAUCUACUUUUUCGUGGGGGAUAACGUAGGGAAACUUACGCUAAUACCGCAUACGACCUACGGGUGAAAGCAGGGGAUCUUCGGACCUUGCGCGAGUGAAUGAGCCGAUGUCGGAUUAGCUAGUUGGCGGGGUAAAGGCCCACCAAGGCGACGAUCCGUAGCUGGUCUGAGAGGAUGGUCGGCCACACUGGAACUGAGACACGGUCCAGACUCCUACGGGAGGCAGCAGUGGGGAAUAUUGGACAAUGGGCGCAAGCCUGCUCCAGCCAUACCGCGUGGGUGAAGAAGGCCUUCGGGUUGUAAAGCCCUUUUGUUGGGAAAGAAAAGCAGCAGGUUAAUACCCCGCUGUUCUGACGGUACCCAAAGAAUAAGCACCGGCUAACUUCGUG
rnacentral:rRNA from 1 species